UGGGGAAUCUUGGACAAUGGGCGCAAGCCUGAUCCAGCCAUGCCGCGUGGAUGAUGAAGGCCUUAGGGUUGUAAAAUCCUUUCGUUGGGGACGAUAAUGACGGUACCCAAAGAAGAAGCUCCGGCUAACUUCGUGCCAGCAGCCGCGGUAAUACGAAGGGGGCUAGCGUUGUUCGGAUUUACUGGGCGUAAAGCGCGUGUAGGCGGAUUUGUAAGUUGGGGGUGAAAUCCCGAGGCUCAACCUCGGAACUGCCUCCAAAACUACAAGUCUGGACCUAAGUAGAGGCAAGUGGAAUUGCGAGUGUAGAGGUGAAAUUCGUAGAUAUUCGCAGGAACACCAGUGGCGAAGGCGACUUGCUGGACUUAUGGUGACGCUGAGACGCGAAAGCGUGGGGAGCAAACAGGAUUAGAUACCCACGUAGUCCCUGAGCGGGCUGGCAAGGCGCAU
rnacentral:rRNA from 1 species